rnacentral:rRNA from 1 species
GACGAACGCUGGCGGCGUGCUUAACACAUGCAAGUCGAACGGUAAGGCCCUUCGGGGUACACGAGUGGCGAACGGGUGAGUAACACGUGGGUGAUCUGCCCUGCACUUCGGGAUAAGCCUGGGAAACUGGGUCUAAUACCGGAUAGGACUCCGGACUGCAUGGUCUGGGGUGGAAAGCUUUUGCGGUGUGGGAUGGGCCCGCGGCCUAUCAGCUUGUUGGUGGGGUGAUGGCCUACCAAGGCGACGACGGGUAGCCGGCCUGAGAGGGUGACCGGCCAAACUGGGACUGGGAUACGGCCCAGACUCCUACGGGAGGCAGCAGUGGGGAAUAUUGCACAAUGGGCGCAAGCCUGAUGCAGCGACGCCGCGUGAGGGAUGACGGCCUUCGGGUUGUAAACCUCUUUCAGCAUCGACGAAGCGAAAGUGACGGUAGGUGCAGAAGAAGGACCGGCCAACUACGUGCCAGCAGCCGCAGUAA